rnacentral:rRNA from 1 species
UACGGAAGGGGCAAGCGUUGUUCGGAAUCAUUGGGCGUAAAGGGCGCGUAGGUGGUUCUGUAUGUCUACCGUGAAAGCGUACGGCUCAACCGUAUUUUGUCGGUAGAAACUGCAGGACUUGAGGCUGGGAGGGGCUGGUGGAAUUCCCUGUGUAGCGGUGAAAUGCGUAGAGAUGGGGGAGAACACUCGUGGCGAAGGCGGCCAGCUAGACCAGUUCUGACACUGAGGCGCGACAGCGUGGGGGCAAACAGG